AGUGAACGCUGGCGGUAGGCCUAACACAUGCAAGUCGAACGGCAGCACAGUAAGAGCUUGCCCUUACGGGUGGCGAGUGGCGGACGGGUGAGGAAUACAUCGGAAUCUACUUUUUCGUGGGGGAUAACGUAGGGAAACUUACGCUAAUACCGCAUACGACCUACGGGUGAAAGCAGGGGAUCUUCGGACCUUGCGCGAUUGAAUGAGCCGAUGUCGGAUUAGCUAGUUGGCGGGGUAAAGGCCCACCAAGGCGACGAUCCGUAGCUGGUCUGAGAGGAUGAUCAGCCACACUGGAACUGAGACACGGUCCAGACUCCUACGGGAGGCAGCAGUGGGGAAUAUUGGACAAUGGGCGCAAGCCUGAUCCAGCCAUACCGCGUGGGUGAAGAAGGCCUUCGGGUUGUAAAGCCCUUUUGUUGGGAAAGAAAAGCAGCAGGUUAAUACCCCGCUGUUCUGACGGUACCCAAAGAAUAAGCACCGACUAACUUCGUG
rnacentral:rRNA from 1 species